UCUUGCAGUAGAAGCAGUGGCACACAUGGCAGCCAAGUGGAAUAUUCCAAUAAUAACCCCAGCUGGCUCUGCUGGAAUAUUGGCCGAUAAAGUGCAAUUCCCUACUCUUACCCGUUUGUCCUUCGGUAUGCAAGAAUACGCUGCCUUUUAUUUGGACUUAUUGAAGCUGUAUGGUUGGAACCAUGUGGCACUCUUUUAUGAGAGCGAUGACGUAUUCUCAGGAAUUAUUGGAAAUACAUUUUAUGAAAUAUUCCGAUCCACUCAAUUGUUAUUGGUCUACUACCAGAUUAAAGGAAGAACUUUUAAUGCAAAUGAUUAUAAAAAUAUUUUACAGAAAGGUCACGCUAAUGCAAGAGUCUUUAUUUUGUUGGCCUCGCCAAACACUGUCAGAAAAUUUCUUUCUGUGGCAUCCGCAUUGGAGUAUACAUUUGGAGAUCAUGUGAUUAUAGCAACCAUUCCUGUCAACACAAAUUUGGAUAUUUGGCAAAGAGGCGAUGCAGAAGAUGAGGUUGUUAAACAGGCUUGUCAAUGUACAAUGUUUAUUGCUCUAUCAGAAGACUUCAACUUGGAAUAUAUUACCUUUAAAAACGACAUCAAGACACGAGCCCUUACCGACUAUGGCUUCAAUUUUGGAAACGAAGAG